GACGAACGCUGGCGGCGUGCUUAACACAUGCAAGUCGAACGGAAAGGCCCUGCUUUUGUGGGGUGCUCGAGUGGCGAACGGGUGAGUAACACGUGAGUAACCUGCCCUUGACUUUGGGAUAAGUUCAGGAAAAUGGGGCUAAUACCGUAAAGGAGCUCCUGCUGCAUGGUGGGGGUUGGAAAGUUUCGGCGGUUGGGGAUGGACUCGCGGCUUAUCAGCUUGUUGGUGGGGUAGUGGCGCACCAAGGCUUUGACCGGUAGCCGGCCUGAGAGGGUGACCGGCCCCAUUGGGAUUGGGCUGCGACCCAGCCUCCUCCGGGAGGCAGCAGUGGGGUAUAUUGCACAAUGGGCGGAAGCCUGAUGCAGCAACGCCGCGUCCGGGAUGACGGCCUUCGGGUUGUAUACCGCUUUCGCCUGUGCCGAAGAGUGAGUGACGGUAAUGGGUAAAGAAGCACCGGCUAACUACGUG
rnacentral:rRNA from 1 species